CGCGUAGGCGGCCCUGCAAGUCUGAUGUGAAAUCCCCCGGCUCAACCGGGGACUCGCGUCAGAAACUGCAAGGCUUGAGUGCAGGAGAGGAGAGCGGAAUUCCCAGUGUAGCGGUGAAAUGCGUAGAUAUUGGGAGGAACACCGGUGGCGAAGGCGGCUCUCUGGACUGCCACUGACGCUGAGGCGCGAAAGCUAGGGGAGCAAACGGGAUUAGAUACCCCGGUAGUCCUAGCCGUAAACGUUGGGCACUAGGUGUGGGAGGUAUCGACCCCUUCCGUGCCGCAGCUAACGCAUUAAGUGCCCCGCUGGGGAGUACGGCCGCAAGGUUGAA
rnacentral:rRNA from 1 species